GGAGGCACACUCUGUUCAAAGGCCCAUAAGUAAAUUAAAGAUUUUCGUCAUAAAGCCAAUAGAAGUGUUUGAGAAAAAAACACCUUUCAAAGUGAACCUGUAUUAUGUUACUGGAAUAUUUUUUAAAAAUCUAUUAACCUCUAAGAGGCCAAGAACAGAAAUUCAGCAAUAAAAGGUAAAUAAUCUCAUCUGAAGGAAAGUUCCAAAUGAACACUAAAUAUGUUCGAUCUAUGUCACC
rnacentral:lncRNA from 10 species